AGCUCCACUAGCGUAUAUUAAAGUUGCUGCAGUUAAAAAGCUCGUAGUCGGAUCUCGGGAUCGUGUCGGCGGCUUUGUCGCUUCUCCGUGCGUUUCGGCGUGCGGGGUUGUGGCGAGUCGUCGGCCCUGUCGGCGAGGUCCCCACCUUUGGUGGGGGUCCACCUCGCUCGUGCAGCCCGCCGUCGCGUUUUGGCGGGGGUCCCUUAUUUGAUGUCCCGUCUCCACGUGGCCCUUUUACCUUGAACAAAUCGGAGUGCUCAAAGCAGGCUCUUCAUCGCUCGAACGGUAGCGCAUGGAAUAAUGGAAGAGGACCGGCUUCCGCUUCUGUUGGUCUCACGGAGGCAGGUAAUGAUCAAGAGGGACGGAUGGGGACAGAGGUAUGGCUCGGCGAGAGGUGAAAUUCUUGGACCCUAGCCAGACCCUCGAGAGCGAAAGCAUCUGUCAAAGAUGUUUCCA
rnacentral:rRNA from 1 species